AAGUCGUAACAAGGUUUCCGUAGGUGAACCUGCGGAAGGAUCAUUAUCGAGUUCUGACGUGAGUUGUCGCUGGCCUCUCGGGGCAUGUGCACAUUCAUUGUUCAUCCACUCACACCUGUGCACACUUGUAGUUUCUUCAAAGGACGGAAGCCUUUCAUUAGGUGGAAGUCUGGCGGGGACUCUACGUAUUUUAUACACACUCAAAGUCUAGAAUGUAACCUUUGCUAUAAACGCAUUUAAAUACAACUUUCAACAACGGAUCUCUUGGCUCUC
rnacentral:misc_RNA from 1 species